AUGACUAUGUAUUGUUGUAUUGCCGUGCUCUGCGGGUUGGCGUUGGCCGCCAACAACGACGAGGCUGGCGGCUCGGGCGCGGGCGUCAUCAACAUUGAUCUGUGUCCUAUUUUUUCUUUGGUUUUUAGUUUUUGUUAUGAUCAGUGUCUUGUUUUUUCUUUUAUAAAUUGCAAUGAACGACCGAAGCUCGACAAAGAUGUCCUAAUCUUAUUGUAUUUGAGUGUCAUUUAUUUAGCUCUUUCAAAAUUUAUAGUGUGGCUUUUUGUAACAUGCCAUUUUCAUGUGUUUAUGAAGAUUGCAAAAAAGCAACUGGAAUGA
rnacentral:rRNA from 1 species